rnacentral:rRNA from 1 species
UACGUAGGCAGCAAGCGUUGUUCGGAAUUACUGGGCGUAAAGAGUGUGUAGGCGGUGCUCUAAGUUCGGUGUGAAAUCUCCCGGCUCAACUGGGAGGGGUCUUCGGAUACUGGCGGACUUGAGGAGUGCAGAGGUGAGUGGAAUUCUCGGUGUAGUGGUGAAAUGCGUAGAUAUCGAGAGGAACACCAGUGGCGAAGGCGGCUCACUGGGCUCCACCUGACGCUGAGGCGCGAAAGCCAGGGGAGCGAACGGG